rnacentral:rRNA from 1 species
AAUGAACGCUGGCGGUAUGCCUAACACAUGCAAGUCGAACGACAACACAAUAAGAUCUUUCUCUUGCCGUUGGCGAGUGGCGGGCGAGUGAGACAUACAUCGCCAUCUUCUUUUUCUUGGGUGAUUUCGUAGGGACACUUCCGCUACUACCUCAUACAUCCUACCGGUUAAAUCAGUGGAUCUUCGCACUUUGCCCGUUUCUUUUAGCCGACGUCGCAUUAGCUAGUUGGUGAGGUAACGGCCCACCAAGGCAACGAUGCGUAGCUGAUCUGAGAGGAUGAUCGGCCACACUGGAACUGAGACACGGUCCAGACUCCUACGGGAGGCAGCAGUAGGGAAUAUUCCGCAAAGGGCGAAAGCCUGACGGAGCAACGCCGCGUGAGUGAAGAAGGUCUUCGGAUCGUAAAACUCUGUUAUUAGGGAAGAAAAGAUGUGUAAGUAACUAUGCACGUCUUGACGGUACCUAAUCAGAAAGCCACGGCUAACUACGUG